GGGGAAUCUUGCGCAAUGGCCGAAAGGCUGACGCAGCGACGCCGCGUGUGGGAGGAAGCUCUUCGGGGUGUAAACCACUGUUGCCCGGGACGAACAGCCUCUUUCGAGGGGCCUGACGGUACCGGGUGAGGAAGCACCGGCUAACUCUGUGCCAGCAGCCGCGGUAAUACGGAGGGUGCGAGCGUUGUCCGGAAUCACUGGGCGUAAAGGGCGCGUAGGUGGCGCGAGUAGUCAACGGUGAAAGCCCGGGGCUCAACCCCGGGUCGGCCGUCGAUACUCUCGUGCUUGAGCACUGUAGAGGCAGGUGGAAUUCCGGGUGUAGCGGUGGAAUGCGUAGAGAUCCGGAAGAACACCGGUGGCGAAGGCGGCCUGCUGGGCAGUAGCUGACACUGAGGCGCGACAGCGUGGGGAGCAAAC
rnacentral:rRNA from 1 species